GUCGGCACUCUCAAAGUCAGCAUCGCUCUCGGAUGUCGCCAUCUCCGUCGGUUUGAAGUUUAUUGUCUUGGAGAAGAUGGGAUUUCAAAGUUCUGAAACGUCUUUUUUUUGUGGAACCUCUUGGGAUGCGAUCACAUUCAAUCGGAGCAGAAAGUGUGGCAGGAUUGUCAACCAAUUGCCGUGCGUUUAGCAACUGGGAGCUCAUUCGCGGAUCUUUAUAAAUUAAAUUAUUGCAAAACUAGCAAAAUAAUAAAGAACUUUUCGAUUCGGCACAAUUCGUUCUACUUGCUUACAAGAGCACAGAAUAGAAAAUGCGACUGGACAUUCAUACUGCACUGUUUCGAUACAUUUCGUAUCUUUCAUGGCAUCAACGUCGAAUCUGAAUUGCGAGACUGACUCCACUGAAAAGCAAAUAAUCUACUUGGAAUACAUAGAUAUGUAAAUUUAUGUUGCACAAAAUAUGAUUGACUCAACUUACGGCAAUAAAAACCGAAGACAAAGCAAGUUCGGUGCUUCGAACUGAUGACGUAGCCUUUGUC